rnacentral:rRNA from 1 species
GAUGAACGCUGGCGGCGUGCCUAAUACAUGCAAGUCGAGCGAACAGACGAGGAGCUCGCUCCUCUGACGUUAGCGGCGGACGGGUGAGUAACACGUGGAUAACCUACCUAUAAGACUGGGAUAACUUCGGGAAACCGGAGCUAAUACCGGAUAAUAUAUUGAACCGCAUGGUUCAAUAGUCAAAGAUGGUUUUGCUGUCACUUAUAGAUGGAUCCGCGCCGCAUUAGCUAGUUGGUAAGGUAACGGCUUACCAAGGCAACGAUGCGUAGCCGACCUGAGAGGGUGAUCGGCCACACUGGAACUGAGACACGGUCCAGACUCCUACGGGAGGCAGCAGUAGGGAAUCUUCCGCAAUGGGCGAAAGCUUGACGGAGCAACGCCGCGUGAGUGAUGAAGGUCUUCGGAUCGUAAAACUCUGUUAUUAGGGAAGAACAAAUGUGUAAGUAACUAUGCACGUCUUGACGGUACCUAAUCAGAAAGCCACGGCUAACUACGUG